AUAUUUACCUGGCAGGGGAGAUACCACGAUCAUGAAGGUGGUUCACCCAGGAUGAGGCUCAGCCAUUGCACUUCGGCUGUGCUGAUUCCUGUGAAUUCCCCAAAAUGUGGGAAUCUGGACUGCAUCACUUCUGGUGGCGGGGGGGACUGUGUUCGAGCUCUCCUCUG
rnacentral:snRNA from 1 species